GAUGAACGCUGGCGGCGUGCCUAAUACAUGCAAGUCGAGCGAACAGACGAGGAGCUUGCUCCUCUGACGUUAGCGGCGGACGGGUGAGUAACACGUGGAUAACCUCCCUAUAAGACUGGGAUAACUUCGGGAAACCGGAGCUAAUACCGGAUAAUAUAUUGAACCGCAUGGUUCAAUAGUGAAAGACGGUUUUGCUGUCACUUAUAGCUGGAUCCGCGCCGCAUUAGCUAGUUGGUAAGGUAACGGCUUACCAAGGCAACGAUGCGUAGCCGACCUGAGAGGGUGAUCGGCCACACUGGAACUGAGACACGGUCCAGACUCCUACGGGAGGCAGCAGUAGGGAAUCUUGCGCAAUGGGCGAAAGCCUGACGGAGCAACGCCGCGUGAGUGAUGAAGGUCUUCGGAUCGUAAAACUCUGUUAUUAGGGAAGAACAAAUGUGUAAGUAACUAUGCACGUCUUGACGGUACCUAAUCAGAAAGCCACGGCUAACUACGUG
rnacentral:rRNA from 1 species